UACGUAGGAGGCGAGCGUUGUCCGGAAUCACUGGGUGUAAGGCGCGUGUAGGCGGCCUGCCAAGUCUGCUGUGAAAGCGCCUGGCUUAACCGGGCGAGGUCGGUGGAAACUGGCGGGCUGGAGGUCGGUAGAGGGGGGUGGAAUUCCGCGUGUAGCAGUGAAAUGCGUAGAUAUGCGGAGGAACACCGAUGGCGAAGGCAAUCCCCUGGGCCUGCACUGACGCUCAUGCACGAAAGCGUGGGGAGCAAACAGG
rnacentral:rRNA from 1 species